AAACCAACAGGGAUUGCCUCAGUAGCGGCGAGUGAAGCGGCAAAAGCUCAAAUUUGAAAUCUGGUAGUUCUGCUACCCGAGUUGUAAUUUGUAGAAAACUGUCUUUGUUAGGGUGCCUGUCUAAGUUCCUUGGAACAGGACGUCGCAGAGGGUGAGAAUCCCGUGUGAUGGGUGGCCCGAGCUUUUAAGGCGUUUUCGAAGAGUCGAGUUGUUUGGGAAUGCAGCUCUAAGUGGGUGGUAAAUUCCAUCUAAAGCUAAAUAUUGGCGAGAGACCGAUAGCGAACAAGUACAGUGAUGGAAAGAUGAAAAGAACUUUGAAAAGAGAGUGAAACAGUACGUGAAAUUGUUGAAAGGGAAGGGUAUUUGAUCCGACAUGGGAUUUACUCAUCAUUGCUCCUUGUGGGUGGUGCUCUGGGUUUUUUCUGGGCCAGAAUCAGUUUGUGUGGCAGGAUAAAGGCGUGAGGAAGUAGCUCUUCUGGAGCAAUAUAACUCAUGUUAAUACUGCCUAUGCGGACUGAGGAAUGCG
rnacentral:rRNA from 1 species